rnacentral:ncRNA from 1 species
AGAUCUCAACGGCUACCUGACGUGAUCUUUUUUUAAUAUUGGAGCA